AGCCGCCCGACACAGCGCCGCCGUGACGUCACGGACAGGCCCCCGCCCCCCGGCGGGGUGACGUCACGUGGAGGAGCCCCCGCCGCGGAGCCGAGCCGUGACGUCACGAGGAGGUGCCCCCCGAGCCGAGCCGCGCUCUGACGUUACGGGGAGGCGCGGUGCCCAGGAUGGGGAGAGCUUAAAGGCAGCAGAGCGCCGCCCGCCCUCCGCAGCGUGACUCAGGGUUAUAAACACGGCCCCAGCCGUAGCGGGACACCGCACCGCCCUGGGGACACGGCUGGGGGCUCCGCGGGUAUUUUAGCUGUGGCGGAAUAUGAGUGGAACAGCCAGAUGCAUAAGGUGAUUCUCCAUGGCCCCACCAAAGGCAGAGCUUUUGGUGCCAGUUUCUGGUACUCCAGAUGGGACAAAGAGGUGCCAACUCAGUGGACCAGAGGAAUCAUCAGCACUCCAGGGCACACCAAAAUAUUUUCAGGGAGAUCUUCCUGUUUCCUGGUCUGGUGCUGAAUCCAGGGUAGAGACAACACUGAUGUGGUUCAACACUGACCUUCUCCUGACAGCCUAGUCCAAGGUUUUACAGAUGGGCCAUACCUAUGUUCAUCCAGUUUCAUUAAUAUUUCUGGCUGGUUCAGCAUAUUUGUAUUGACCAGGAGAGACUCACAAAUUAUUCAGUCUGAGAAAUGGCUUGCAUGUUUUAAAUGGUCUUACUUCAAUUGAUCUGGUUUUGACAGCAACAUUAGGAAUUAAAAAAGGAUACUAUAUGAAUGCAUUGAAAAUAUGAUUGAGCUUUAUUUCAGAGGUAGUGUUCUUGCUCCUCCCCUUGUUUGAUCUGUUGGUACAUAUAUAAUAUUUUUUAAUUCAAAUAUAAGAACUUGUGACUACCAUUUCAGAAUUGCUAUAUAUCCCAUUCAGAACGAGACCCUGUUCAUUCUAUGUAUCCUGCAGGGCAUUAAAGGAUGUGUACAUAC